GACGAACGCUGGCGGCGUGCUUAACACAUGCAAGUCGAACGAAAAGGCGCUGCUUUUGCGUGUUUCUCGAUUGGCGAACGGGUGAGUAACACGUGAGUAACCUGCCCUUGACUUUGGGAUAACUUCAGGAAAAUGGGUCUAAUACCGGAUAUGAUCUCCUGCUGCAUGGUGUUGGUUGGAAAGUUUCGGCGGUUGGGGCUGGACUCGCGGGUUAUCAGCUUGUUUGUGGGGUAGUGACUUACCAAGGGUUUGACGGGUAGCCCGCCUGGGAGGGUGACCGGGGACAUUGGGACUGCGAUAGGGAGCAGUCUCGAACGGGCGGCAGUAGUGGGGAAUCUUGCAGAGUGGGGGGAAGUGUGAUGUAGCAGCGCUGGGUGCGUGAUGACGGCCUUCGGGUUGUAAACCUAUUUGGAAUGUGCCGAAGAGUGAGUGACGGUAAUGGGUAAAGAAGCAACGGCUAACUACGUG
rnacentral:rRNA from 1 species